AACGAACGCUGGCGGCAUGCCUAACACAUGCAAGUCGAACGAGACCUUCGGGACUAGUGGCGCACGGGGGCGUAACGCGUGGGAACCUGCCCUUAGGUUCGGAAUAACUCCCCGAAAGGGGUGCUAAUACCGGAUAAUGUCUGCGGACCAAAGAUUUUUCGCCUUUGGAUGGGCCCGCGUUGGAUUAGCUAGGUGGUAGGGUAAAAGCCUACCAAGGCGACGAUCCAUAGCUGGUCUGAGAGGAUGAUCAGCCACACUGGGACUGAGCCUCGGCCCAGACUCCUACGGGAGGCAGCAGUGGGGAAUCUUGGACAAUGGGCGAAGGCCUGAUCCCGCACUGCCGCGUGAGUGAUGAAGGCCUUAGGGUUGUAAAGCUCUUUUACCCGGGAUGAUAAUGACAGUACCGGGAGAAUAAGCUCCGGCUAACUCCGUG
rnacentral:rRNA from 1 species